GUUGAGAAGCCAAGGAAAAUUGCAGCCAAUGAAGAGGCAAUUCACAAUUCAUUCACUUCAAAAGAAGCUGGAAAAAUGGUGCUUUCUGUAGACAAUACUGCCUCUCGAAAGAGAAAAGUUGCAGCCUAUCGAUACAUUGUCCGCAAAUCUGCAACUAUUUCAGCCUAAAAUGAAGCAAAUCUAUGUUUUUUUUAACUCACUUUAUCUAGGAGUACUUGUUUUUACAUUUUUGUUGAUGAAUGUUUGGGCAAGUUAGUAGUAAUAUUUUAUGUGAGCCCUAGUAUGAUGAUAUGAAUGUAUAAAUGGU
rnacentral:misc_RNA from 1 species